CCCAACCAGUGGCACUCAGGACAUCCCCACUGUGACUUUGCUCUGCCCCUGAAGGAAGCUCCCCACCCAAGUGUGAGGAUUAAUCAGAGCACUUGGAGAUCCUCAAUGAGAAACGCUGCAGGAACAUCAAGGGUUGUUGUGCUCAGACAGGGAGACACUGGAGAUUUCUUGGCCAGCUCUGGAUUCCAGGAAUAAAGUGGGAACAAAUCAAGGCUGGCUCUCAACCCAAGGCCGGCUUCUUUGUUUUAUCAGAGAAUAAAGAACAACAGAUGGACCAGGUUUGUUCUCCCCAGGGUGGCAGGGAAGGAUUCCAGCCAAGGACAGCUGGGAAUGUGAUGGGCUCCCAGUCACCUCCACCACCAGGGCUGACUAAAGCAGCACGCACUCACCUGUUUUGCAGCAAAAUAGCAAAUAAAGCAUUUUUAAAUGA